rnacentral:tRNA from 1 species
AAAGCUUUAAGUUAAUCAAACUAUUAACCUUCAAAGUUAAAAAUAUGAAAAUAGUCAUAAGCUUUA